rnacentral:tRNA from 1 species
GGUUUGGUGGUCUAGUGGUCAUCGCCUCUGAUUCGCAUACAGAAGUUCCUGGGUUCAAUCCCUGGCCAGUCCA